rnacentral:rRNA from 1 species
GUGGGGAAUAUUGCACAAUGGGGGAAACCCUGAUGCAGCGACGCCGCGUGAAGGAAGAAGUAUUUCGGUAUGUAAACUUCUAUCAGCAGGGAAGAAAAUGACGGUACCUGACUAAGAAGCCCCGGCUAACUACGUGCCAGCAGCCGCGGUAAUACGUAGGGGGCAAGCGUUAUCCGGAUUUACUGGGUGUAAAGGGAGCGUAGACGGCAUGGCAAGUCUGAUGUGAAAACUUGGGGCUCAACCCCAAGACUGCAUUGGAAACUGUUAAGCUAGAGUGCAGGAGAGGUAAGCGGAAUUCCUAGUGUAGCGGUGAAAUGCGUAGAUAUUAGGAGGAACACCAGUGGCGAAGGCGGCUUACUGGACUGUAACUGACGUUGAGGCUCGAAAGCGUGGGGAGCAAACAGG